AGCUUUGCACAGUGGCAGUAUCAGAGCCAAUGAGGUUUAUCCGAAGCGGGAUUAUUGCUAAUUGAAAACUUUUCCCAAAACUA
rnacentral:snRNA from 1 species